UAAACCUGAGAAACCCAAAAGAUCGAAUGGGGAGAUUCAUCAUCAGCGACGUUGGCUUCCGUGUGGAUGCGAUGACUGGGACUUCGGUUCCGCGUCACGCUUUGCUGCGGUAUGUCCGGCGUCGUCGGCGUGCACUUCUCCCCUAGUAGGACGUCGCGACCCGUUGGGUGCUGGCCUACGGUCCGGUUGGUCGACUGUGCGUGCGUUCAGCGUGUGCGCGGCAGACCACUGGNNNCCUGGCCGGCUGCCCGGCGGUAUACAUCGUUAUAAAAUGGUAUUGGGCCGCAUUCAGUGCGUUCUGGCUCGUCGGCAGGCUCGUCUCGCUCGGAUUUACGGACCUAGUGCCGUUGCCGGGCGCUUGGCGUGGCCGUUAGUCGACGAUGUCCUCGGACUGGCUCUCCUUUACCGG
rnacentral:rRNA from 1 species